rnacentral:lncRNA from 1 species
ACUGUGUUAGACUAUAUACCUCUCUCUUGGAUUCAGGUUCAUAAAGGAACUGUGUUAGACUAUAUACAUCCCUCUUGGAUUCAGGUUCAUCCCUCUUGGAUUCAGGUUCGUGAAGGAACUGUGUUAGAUUAUAUACAUCCCUCUUGGAUUCAGGUUCGUGAAGGAACUGUGUUAGAGUAUAUACAUCUCUCUUGGAUUCAGGUUCGUGAAGGAACUGUGUUAGACUAUAUACAUCUCUCUUGGAUUCAGGUUCGUGAAGGAACUGUGUUAGACUAUAUACAUCCCUCCUGGAUUCAGGUUCGUGAAGGAACUGUGUUAGACUAUAUACAUCCCUCCUGGAUUCAGGUUCGUGAAGGAACUGUGUUAGACUGUAUACAUCUCUCUUGGAUUCAGGUUCGUGAAGGA